rnacentral:tRNA from 13 species
UACCAUGUGGUCUAGCGGUCAGGAUUCCUGGCUUUCACCCAGGCGGCCCGGGUUCGACUCCCGGUAUAGAAA